rnacentral:sRNA from 1 species
UGGAAAGAGAGGAAGGGAAGUCAUUGGUAUGUUAAGGAUAUAUAAAUGAGUACUUUAAAUUGUAAAACAGAGAAAUUGUGUUUGUCUGUGUGUGUGUGUGUGUGUGUGUGUGUGUGUAAGAUCCAGGUCUGUGGCUGAAGAGCAAUGACGUAGCAUGUGUGUGACAUAAAAAUUUGGCACCCCUUCACCUCUCCAC